rnacentral:rRNA from 1 species
UACGGAGGGGGCUAGCGUUGUUCGGAAUUACUGGGCGUAAAGCGCGCGUAGGCGGAUCAGCAAGUUAGGGGUGAAAUCCCGGGGCUCAACCCCGGAACUGCCUCUAAAACUGUUGGUCUUGAGUUCGAGAGAGGUGAGUGGAAUUCCGAGUGUAGAGGUGAAAUUCGUAGAUAUUCGGAGGAACACCAGUGGCGAAGGCGGCUCACUGGCUCGAUACUGACGCUGAGGUGCGAAAGCGUGGGGAG